UACGUAGGGUGCAAGCGUUAAUCGGAAUUACUGGGCGUAAAGGGUGCGUAGGCGGGUAAGUAAGUCCGUGGUGAAAUCUCUGAGCUUAACUCAGAAACUGCCGUGGAUACUAUUUGCCUUGAAUAUUGUGGAGGUGAGCGGAAUAUGUCAUGUAGCGGUGAAAUGCUUAGAUAUGACAUAGAACACCAAUUGCGAAGGCAGCUCACUACACAAUCAUUGACGCUGAGGCACGAAAGCGUGGGGAUCAAACAGG
rnacentral:rRNA from 1 species